rnacentral:rRNA from 1 species
UACGAAGGGGGCUAGCGUUGCUCGGAAUUACUGGGCGUAAAGAGCUCGUAGGCGGUUUGUCGCGUCGGCUGUGAAACCCUGGGGCUCAACCCCGGGCCUGCAGCCGAUACGGGCAAGCUAGAAUUCGGUAGGGGAGACUGGAAUUCCUGGUGUAGCGGUGAAAUGCGCAGAUAUCAGGAGGAACACCGGUGGCGAAGGCGAGUCCCUGGACAACUUCUGACGCUGAGGCACGAAAGCUAGGGGAGCAAACAGG